AAAGAAGCGAUCUGAUUGGUUGCUAUGGGCAACUGGACAACUUUUCCUCUGCACAGUGACCCCCCCGACCUACGAUGGCCCCGACAUACGAUCAUUUCAGCAUACGAUGGCCUCUCAGAGGCAGCAUCAACAUACGAUGCUUUUGUAUGUCGGGGCCAUCGCAUAAACGUCAUCCAAUAGGAGCGGCGUGCGUAAAAACAUGAUGGCGGCGACGGAGAGCGAGGAUGCCGGGGAAGCAGAGGCCUUGCCGGAGCGUCGGGGGCACCUCGGGGAUGCAACUACAGCGAUGGACGGCGACAUCCAGGGUAGCGGUGACGGUCCGGAGCGGCGGGAACAGGCACAACCUUACACAUUUUAGCCCAGUGUGGCCAUAAAUCAUCAGUAGUACGGAGGUCAAGAAAGGAAACUCUUCUGAUGUCAGGCACUGCGUUUCCCAAUGAAAAUGGAUUCCAAGAAAGAAGUGGUGUUUAAAUCCAAAGUGGACUUUGCAGUACAAUAAAAUAAUGAAAGGACCAAUGGCGCAUUUCUGGGCACACUCACCUCUUCAUCAGAUUAUAAAAAACAAGUGAUCAGUAACACUGAGAGAAGGAUGGACAUUCUCAAGGGUUUUAAUUCAAUUUGUAUGCAUACACCUUAGUGAGCCAUUGGAACACAAGUGACAGUUACUAAAUUUUGGGUCUUUUUAUAUUAAUUUCAUUUGUUUAUUCAAAAAUAUCUCCCUUAUUCCCACUUUAACACUCCGUCUAUUAGUAUUGUCCAAGUGAUGAAUGACCAUUUGUUUUGUUCUGCUUUAUAACACUAUGUACAAGUUUAUUCAUCCUUCCUGUUAUGUACUAGGACAUUGUAAAGACUGAACACAUCAUACGGCUGGUGCCAGGCACAGUAAUACUUCGCGGAUAAUAACUGGCUCUAAAAUGUGCCUGUAAUCAGUCGUAGUCAUCUAAUGUCUUAUACUUUCUUGCCAACGGGAAUGCCAACA